rnacentral:rRNA from 1 species
GUAUAGGGGAGCCGUAGGGAAACCGAGUCUUAACCGGGCGUUAAGUUGCAGGGUAUAGACCCGAAACCCGGUGAUCUAGCCAUGGGCAGGUUGAAGGUUGGGUAACACUAACUGGAGGACCGAACCGACUAAUGUUGAAAAAUUAGCGGAUGACCUGUGGCUGGGGGUGAAAGGCCAAUCAAACCGGGAGAUAGCUGGUUCUCCCCGAAAGCUAUUUAGGUAGCGCCUCGUGAAUUCAUCUCCGGGGGUAGAGCACUGUUUCGGCUAGGGGGCCAUCCCGGCUUACCAACCCGAUGCAAACUGCGAAUACCGGAGAAUGUUAUCACGGGAGACACACGGCGGGUGCUAACGUCCGUCGUGAAGAGGGAAACAACCCAGACCGCCAGCUAAGGUCCCAAAGUCAUGGUUAAGUGGGAAACGAUGUGGGAAGGCCCAGACAGCCAGGAUGUUGGCUUAGAAGCAGCCAUCAUUUAAAGAAAGCGUAAUAGCUCACUGGUCGAGUCGGCCUGCGCGGAAGAUGUAACGGGGCUAAACCAUGCACCGAAGCUGCGGCAGCGAACGUAUCACCCAAGACAACUUUACGGAGUUGACGAUUGACGGAGCGAAGCGACGUCAAAGCGUUCAUUAAAGUCGAGUUGGCUUAGGGAUACGUUCGUUGGGUAGGGGAGCGUUCUGUAAGCCUGUGAAGGUGUGUCGUGAGGCAUGCUGGAGGUAUCAGAAGUGCGAAUGCUGACAUAAGUAACGAUAAAGCGGGUGAAAAGCCCGCUCGCCGGAAGACCAAGGGUUCCUGUCCAACGUUAAUCGGGGCAGGGUGAGUCGACCCCUAAGGCGAGGCCGAAAGGCGUAGUCGAUGGGAAACGGGUUAAUAUUCCCGUACUUGGUGUUACUGCGAAGGGGGGACGGAGAAGGCUAUGUUGGCCGGGCGACGGUUGUCCCGGUUUAAGCGUGUAGGUGUGUGUUCCAGGUAAAUCCGGUUCACUUUAACACUGAGGCGUGACGACGAGGCACUACGGUGCUGAAGCAACAAAUGCCCUGCUUCCAGGAAAAGCCUCUAAGCAUCAGGUAACACGAAAUCGUACCCCAAACCGACACAGGUGGUCAGGUAGAGAAUACCAAGGCGCUUGAGAGAACUCGGGUGAAGGAACUAGGCAAAAUGGUGCCGUAACUUCGGGAGAAGGCACGCUGACACGUAGGUGAAGUGAUUUACUCAUGGAGCUGAAGUCAGUCGAAGAUACCAGCUGGCUGCAACUGUUUAUUAAAAACACAGCACUGUGCAAACACGAAAGUGGACGUAUACGGUGUGACGCCUGCCCGGUGCCGGAA